rnacentral:tRNA from 1 species
CGAGCCGCUGGUCGGCGCCGGCGUGCUGCCGGCCGCGCUGCUGGCGCGGAUCGCGCCGGUCGACGCGGCGCGGCGCGAC